AAUUAAAUAAACUUUUUUUUUAUAAAAACAUUGAUUUAUGAGUAAUUGAUCCUUAAUUUUGAUUAUAAGAGUAAAUUACCUUAGGGAUAACAGCGUAAUUUUUUUUUARAGAUCUAAUCGAAAAAAAAGGUUGCGACCUCGAUGUUGGAUUAAAAUAUAGGGCUGGUGUAGGASCUASCCUUUUAGGUCUGUUCRACCUUUAAAAUUUUACAUGAUCUGAKUUUAAACCGGUGUAASCCAGG
rnacentral:rRNA from 1 species